rnacentral:rRNA from 1 species
UACAGAGGUCUCAAGCGUUGUUCGGAUUCAUUGGGCGUAAAGGGUGCGUAGGCGGCGCGGUAAGUCGGGUGUGAAAUCUCGGGGCUUAACUCCGAAACUGCAUUCGAUACUGCCGUGCUUGAGGACUGGAGAGGAGACUGGAAUUUACGGUGUAGCGGUGAAAUGCGUAGAUAUUGGGAGGAACACCAGUGGCGAAGGCGGCUCACUGGACCGGUUCUGACGCUGAGGCGCGAAAGCGUGGGGAGCAAACGGG